rnacentral:lncRNA from 1 species
GUGCUUCAAUAAUUGAUUAACAAUUCCUUGUUUGCUUUAGAUGUCUUGAUGGUUGACUUUUAAUUGGUUUGCUUUUCACAUGAUAUAGUAGAGUUGUUCAUGAAAUAAUAGGGAGGAGAAGUUGGAUGGUUAUGGCUGGAGGAGGGAGAAAGCAUGUGUGUACGAAAAGAGGGAGAGAGAGAGUAAGUGGGUAAGUGGGGAUCAUUAAUUUUUAUUAUUUUUUAAUAAUUCAUGCUAACUAAAGUUAAAAAUCUUCUGAUGUUAAUUAAAACUAUUAAUUCUUCAUCUGAUAUGACUAAUAUUAUUGAUUUGGUUACAUUUAAUUGACCGUUCUACGUGGUGGUAGAAUUAGUCUACCCAAAAAUUUCACAAGCCUCAGGGUUUGUCGGAAUGCAACUUGGUAUCACUCACUGUAUGACAAGUGUCCAAAUUGCAACCUGCACCCACCACGGUGGAUCUCGCUUUGUCUCUCUCUGUCAUUUUCUUUUCCUUUCACAGUAGCUGCGACGUCUGAGUAAUUCGGUAGUCGAUUUGUGUCGUCAGAACUCACAGUAAAGAAGAGUGAAGAAUGCGAGUGAUUCACUGAUUUCAGUGUAAUUUUGUGAUAUUUAAGUAUGGUA